ACCAUCACCAAGUCGUUGACAGCGUGAGUCUGAGUGCUUAAUGUCGUCAGCGGUACCAACGGAUCCAUCUGCAAGCCAACAAACCAAACAUGGUUAUGAGCCCUAUACGAGUAGAUCAGAGAGACAGAGAGAACUAAGCUAAUGACGCAACAGAUGGAUUCUCAAAAAUAGAUUCUUAAAAAAAAAAAACUAGUAUCCAUGUGUGGCAGUCUAAAUGAUGAAUCGUAAACGAACAACAGAUUAAAAAAUCGAUUUUCUUUGAAUGAAGCGCCAGAAGUAAAUAGCAAGCCAACCAGACAGAGACCGCGGGGCAAGAUAGUAGAAGCUUACUCGGGGCUUGCUGCUCGCUCUGAAUCCCCAUGGCACGAGUAGAAGACACACCCUCCUCGAGAGAUCUCGCCGAGUUACCUCAGAUCUCCCGCCGAUUACCUCAGAUUUCCGCUCCUCUGUAUGUAUAUUCUUUUAUCUAUCAAUCAUCCUCCGUGUGUAUAUGUAUGUGCGCCACCUCCCUCCCGCGCUAUGUUUUUUGUCUGGUUUCGAACUCGAUUGGGUUUGGAGGAUGAUUGGAUCGGAAUUCGAUUAGGCACCAGGAAAAGGAAAGUGAGGGACUCUCCUGUCCCGGUUGGAAACAUAUGACGGAAUCCGAUUAGACACCGGCUGCUCCUGAUCCGCGCCGCGGCGAUAUGGCCCCCAGCUAUUAUUACGCGCCACCACCGCCGUGGCCUCCUGCUGCCGCUCGGCGCCGCAGCCGUCAGUCUCCUCCUCUGCGGCGGCAAGAAAGAGGCGGGACGGGAUGGCGCUCGCCCUCGCUCUGCUCCUCGUCGUCGUCGGCGGCUGCUACGUAUGCGGCUCUUCGCGGAGGAAAGAGUCUAGGGAGACCUUCGAAAUCUCAAAAAUUUACAAGAUUUCUAAUCCCCUCAGACACGUAUCUAUAAUCUAUAAUUCUUAUAAAGCUAAACCCCACGUCAUUCCCCACUAAGUCCAUGUCAUUCUAUAUUAAUUAUAAAAAAUAACCAUAUCAUCUAUAUCAUGUGAAAUCUUUAAAUCUUUAAUAUAUUCACAUACAAGUCAUGUACGUACACUAUUUGUUUGAUCACCAAUUAAUUUCUCUAUAAUGUAACUAAAUAUUAGUUUUUGUUUUAUUAGCUUAGCAAUACAAGUUAAAUUCAUAUAUGUACAUACAUAAUAGACUAAAUACCUUAUAGUAAUGCUAUAUAUAUAAUGAUUUAUUUUUAAGAAAACUUCGCAGCAACGCGCGGGAAAUUCACCUAGUAUGUAUAAAACACUAAUCCCUCAGACACAUAUAUGUAUAAAACAUUAAAUAUAAAUAAAAAUUAAUUAAUUAUACAAUUUAUAUGUAAUUCACGAGUCAAAUAUUUUUAAAUCUAGCUAGAGCAUGAUUAGACAUUAUUUACCAAGGCCUUAUUUAGUUUCCAACAAAUUUUACAAAAUUUUUUAGAUUUUUCGUCACAUCGAAUCUUAGGCCUUGUUUAGUUCCAAAAAAUUUUAUAAAAUAGAAAUAAUACCACUUUCGUUUGUCUUUGAAAAAUAUUAUCCAAUCAUAUACUAACUAGACUCAAAAGAUUCGUCUCGUCAAUUCAGACUAAACUGUGCAAUUAGUUUUUAUUUUUGUCUAUAUUUAAUACUUCAUGCAUGCGUCUAAAGAUUUGAUGUGACGGGAAAUCUGAUAAAUUUUGUAAAAUUUUUGGGGAACUAAACAAGGUCUUACUGUAUAUGUAUAGAAUAUUAAAUAUAGAUUAAAAAUAACUCAUUAUAGAGUUUAUCUAUAAUUUGUGAGACGAAUUUUUUAAACCUAAUUAAUCUAUAAUUAAACAAUAUUUAUCAAAUAUAAAUAAAAAUGUUACAAUGUUUAUUUUUUAAAAAAAUUACAACUAAGGCUCACUCCAAAAACCAAAAUCUUUUCAAGAUUUCCCGUCACAUCGAAUCUUACGCCACAUGCAUGGAGUAUUAAGGCCUUGUUUAGUUUGCAAAAUUUUUGGUUUUUGGUACUGUAGCACUUUCGUUUUUAUUUGACAAACAUUGUCCAAUCACGGAGUAAGUAGUCUCAAAAGAUUCAUCUCACAAAUUACAGGUAAACUGUACAAUUAGUUUUUAUUUUCAUUUAUAUUUAAUGCUCUAUGCAUGUGACCAAAGAUUCGAUGUGACGUGGAAUCUUGAAAAUUUUUGCGAACUAAACAAGGCCUAAAUAAAGACGAAAAUAAAAACUAAUUGCACAGUUUACCUUUAAAUCACGAGAUGAAUCUUUUAAACCUAAUUACUCCAUAAUUGAAUAAUGUUUGUCAAAUAAAAACGAAAAUGCCGCAGUUUCGAAAACUUUUCAGUUUUUGGAACUAAACAAGGCCUAAACAAAACCCAAAUACAAACAAAAGUUCUCAGUCGCUGCAGACACGCCGCCCUAGCACGCGACACCACUAUUUAACGAACGUUCAGUCAAACUGAUUUCAGCGAACGAUUUUCCGACCAAUCAUAUUUUCCUUUUAGGAAACAAUCAAUCCCGUCUAAUACCAUUGUAGGAUAGUACUAUGACGUUCUAUUCUCUUUCUCUUUUCAAACAGACGUUCGCGUGGGUCUUAUUUUCUUUUCGCACGUCCGACGCGCAACCAAUUUUCUCUUUUGCGCUCUCACGCACGUCAAUAUUUUUUUAAAGCGCACACAUAACUUACACUAGCUGAGGUACCCAAUAUAACUUUAAGGAAUAAAUUAAACAUGCAAAGUUAUACAAAUACUUUUUUUCUUUUUUGCAAACUAAAACAUAUACGUAAUUGAAACUUUGAGAGUUGUUAUGAGAAUUAUAUUCUCCUUAUGUUUCAUCAACAUUUUUUUUCUUUUCAGAAACUAAUCAUUCGGGAAUACGGGACAAGAGUUUAAAAGGGGUGGGAGAGAAAAUAAAAGUAACUUUUACAAUCUAUACUACAAAAGAAAUUCCAUAAUAUCAUGAAAACUUGCAAAAAAAACAUAUAUAUAAUAACUUUCAUAACUUCUGCAAGUAUGAUAUUCUCAGCAUCUCUAUAAUUAUGACAUCGAGUAUAUUUGUAUUCACUUGGAAUGUCUGUAAAAUAUUUUAAUAUUUAAAAUAACAAGUAAAAAACAAAGUUGAUAACAAGAAAAAACAUAAGUUAACUGAAAACAUACGAUGGCUAUCUAACAUACACAUAAAAGCACAAAUAUAACUCUGAAGAAUAAGUUAACCAAAUAAGUUAGAUAGCAAAUACAUGAAAACAUAAGUCACAUACAUAACUCUAUACAGUAAAUUAAUAAAAUAAAUUAGGUAGCAUACACAUGAAAACACAAGUUACAUACAUAACUCUAUAGAAUACGUUAAUGAUCUAAGUUAGGUACCAUACACAAACAGAAGUUAUACAAUACAACUUAGCAGAAUAGGUUAGCAGCAUAACUUAACAGAAUAAGUUAGCAAUAUAACUUACUAUAUGUUAUAAGUUAAUAUACAUAAAUUACUACUAGAAAAAUAAAAAUCUUCAAAACAUAUACAAUUGGGGUCUAGUUUUGUUCGUCUCGUCACGUUGAACACACCGGUGUAGACAGAAUUAAAAAUAAAUACAUCAUUCAAAAGUUAUAGUGCUUUGAAAUAAAUAUUUUAUUUUUUUCAUAAUGACGUCAAGAGGAGAGGGAAAAGGAAGUGGGAGGUAGGAGGGUGGGCGACCGGCUUGUAUAGCUGUUAGAUCGUUCCAACUAAUGACCGUGAGAAUGGAAUUGAGCCUAGCACGGCCAUUAAAAAAAAAACACCGCUCACCCCAAGGUCGUGGAGCCACCUGCCCUCCCUGUCGCCGCGGACGUGCUGUCCUACCACUACCAUUGUCGCACGUGUACAUGCGGCUCACCCACCGAGCUGUCGUGGCCCGCCCAACAUUGGGGCCUUGUUUACUUGGGAAAUUUUUUGCAAAAUUGCUACAGUAACUAUUUUGUUUGUACUCCCUCCGUCCCUGAAAGAAUCAAUUUCUAGAGUUGUCUUAAGUCAAUCUUUUUAAACUUUGACCAAAUUUCUAGAAAAAAAUGCUAAGAUUUAUAGUAUCAAAUUAGUAUUAUUAGAUUCAUCAUAAAAUAUAUUUUCAUAUAAUGUGUAUUUUAUAUUAUAGAUGUUGUUACUCUUUUCUAUAAAGUUAGUCAAACUUUAAAAAGUUUGACUGGCACGGAUCCUAGGAAUUGAUUCUUUCAGGGACGGAGGGAGUAUGUGACAAAUAUUGUCCAAACAUAGACUAACUAGGCUCAAAAGAUUUGUCUCGUAAAUUUCGACCAAACUGUACAAUUAGUUUUUAUUUUCAUCUAUAUUUAAUACUCCAUGCAUGUGUAUAAAGAUUCGAUGUGAUGGGGAAUCUUGAAAAAUUUUGCGUUUUUUUGUUGGAAGUAAACAAGGCCUGGGGCAGUUUAGUUUCCAAAAAUUUUAUAUAUUUUUUUAAUUUCCAUCCUAUCAAAUUUUGCGAUAUAUACAUUCAGCAUUAAAUAUAAAUAAAAAAUAACUAAUUAUAUAGUUUGCUUUUAAUUUAUGAGACAAAUCUUUCAAACCUAGUUAGUUUAUGAUUAAAUAAUAAUUGUUUUUUUAUCAUAAUUAAAUAAUAAUUGUUAAAUAUAAAUAAAAAUACUACAGUAGUUAUUUUUACAAAAUUUUGCUUAACUAAGGUCUUGUUUAGUUCGCAAAAAAUUUAAAUUUCGACACUGUAGCACUUUUGUUUUUAUUUGACAAAAUCAUUCAAUUAUGGAGUAACUAGGUUUAAAAGAUUCGUCUCGUGAUUUACAGAUGAACGAACUGUGCAAUUAGUUUUUAUUUUCAUGUAUAUUUAAUGCACCAUACAUAUAGCGCAAGAUUCGAUGUGAUGAGAAGUCUUAAAAAUUUUUGGGAACUAAGGCCUUGUUCACUUAUAAAAAAUUUUGCAAAAUAAGAAUCAUAGCACUUUUGUUUGUAUUUGACAAAAUAUUUUCCAAUUAUAGACUAGCUAGGCUCAAAAGAUUUGUCUCGUUAAUUCCGAUCAAACUGUGUAAUUAGUUUUUAUUUUCAUCUAUAUCUAAUACUUUAUGCAUACGUCUAAAGAUUCAAUGUGACGGUAAAUCUAAAAAUUUUGCAAAAUUUUUGGGGACUAAACAAGGCCUAAAUAGGGGCGUUGCCGCUGCUGCCUACCCGGUGAGACGACGGUGCAGGUGAGGACAACGAAGAGAAGCUAGCGCAGAGGGCAGUACGAACAAAUCCGCUGAUAGGGCAUCAAAGAAAUAGAUAAUGAAACAACUUCCACAAUGUAUGAGUUUUACUUUAACGUUUUCUAGGCUGGGCAAAACAUUUAAUUACUGUAAAAUAAUUGGAUCACAUGCAAGAUGGUGAAACGAUUUAGCCCUCAGUGGCGAUUUCAUCCCGUUUCAUCAUGUAGGAAACAACGCAAUUUGCUGAUAUGACGCUCUAAUAAAUGUACAUGAUAUCCUGGUGAAACCCCCACUGAGACUGGCCUGAUACGGCGGAGACAGUGUGCUAUGUGCGAUGGGAUAUGACCAUGGCCUUGUUUAGUUCCGAAAAAAUUUCGGAUUUCGGUAUUGUAGUAUUUUCGUUUUUAUUUGACAAACAUUAUCCAAUCAUAAACUAACUAAGCUCAAAAGGUUCAUCUCGUGAUUUACAGGCAAACUGUGUAAUUAGUUUUUGUUUUCAUCUAUAUCUAAUACUUCAUGCAUGUGCCCUAAAAUUCGAUGUGACAGAUAAUUUUGAAAAGUUUUUGGUUUUGGUAAACUAAACAAGGUCCAUGUGACGAUAAGAUUACGAGAGAAAUAAUGAAGAGAAACAUAGUAAUAAACAAAAAGAAAGGGCAAAAAGAGAAAAAAGAGCCUUUUAAUCGUUUUCAAUAUUGCUGAGAAGCUAUUUUACUAGAUAUUUUGCUACCAAUCAAGUUAUUUCUAUUUUUUUUCUCUCGACGUUCGUCACACCACCCUUAUUUAUACCUAUUACCUGCUGCUAUAUCUAUAUCUGUAUAUACACCUAAUAAUAAAAAAAUAAAAUAUAUUCAAACAAAGCAAAAUACCUAUCUUUUUUUGGUCUCGGUAUUUUUUCAUCGGGCCUGUUUAGGGCAUGUUUAGAUAUACUAAAAAAACUCAAAAGUUUACAAGAUUCUUUAUCGCAUCAAUUCUUAUGACACAUAUAUGGAGUAUUAAAUAUAAAUUUAAAAAUAACUAAUUAUACAGUUUACUUGUAAAUCAUAAGACGAAUUUUUUAAAUUUAGUCCAUGAUUGAAUAAUGUUUGUCAAAUACAAAAGCAAGUACUAUAGUGUCAAAAUAAAAAAAAAUUACACCUACAUAAUAAGACCUUAGUGGCCCAACUGUCCCCGUCGCUCACUUUUAUCUGGUUCACCUUUUCCUCUCCUCACAUGACAAAACGGUCUGCUAUGUCGUAGAUGGAGGAGUCCGUCGACAUUGAUAUGUGCCGCCUCCUUCUGAGUUCUGAGAGCUUGUACUGCUAUAACCAUCGUAUUAUUACCAAUUUUAAUUUAUAUUAUAGAAGUUGUGAUUAUCUAAAAAAGUUAGAGGUCUUAAAUUUUAUAGAAAGGAAAAACAUAAAUAGAGAUGUAGCACUCUCUACCAUAAUUUUCAAUUAAUGUAUUGAAUAUUUUUUCUCCCAUUAGAACGCACGAGCAUAUUUGCUAGUUAGGCUUAAAAAAUUUAUCUCGUGAUUUUAUAUGCAAACUGUACAAUUAGUUUUUGUUUUCGUCUACAUUUAAUGUUCUAUGCAUGUGUCCAAGAUUUAAUGUGUUAGGUAAAAUUUUUUUGGUAGAAACUAAACAAAGCAAAACGAGGAUUUUACUUGUGUACCAUUAUUUUUUUUUUGUGAUUGUCAGGAACCAUAUAAAAUUACGAGGGGCAGCCUGUAAGGGCUGUUUGGAACACAUUCUCGUUGCCAAAGUACUAUUUGCAUGUUAGAUUGUGUAGGAGCUCUUCUAAUUGUCAAAGUUACAUAGGUUUGUAUGUUCUUACUAACUAGAAUUGUUUAGGUGACCUCUAACUAGCCCGACAUUUUUGUUUGCCUAAUUAGGAUCUUUAUAAGGUGCUUGUCAACUUAAAUACAGGGAUAUAGUCUUGACAAGGAUAUAUAGUUAUUCACUCCCCCCCUCUAAUCCGCCAUCUCGAUUCUAUAGCCAAGCCCUUCUGGCGAAAACAACGAGAAGAGGGUGAGUUUUCCUUUUUUUUCCUUUUGUUUUUUUUUCAUUUCAAAUACAUCUUCAAAACUUUUCAAAAGCAUUUGAAAACGUUUAAAUUUUAAAGAAAGCCACACGUUACAAUAAAUCUAAUGCACCGGCAUGUAUACACAACAAUGUUACUGAGUCUUAUAAUAAAUUUUGGUUUAAUAAAAUUUAUGUUUCUAUGAUACAAAAUACAUAGUUAAAUCAAUUUAUAUGUUUUUUAAAAAUAACUAAAUUUUGGAUGUUACAAAUUUACCCACUAUAAAUCUCAUCCUCAAGAUUCGGAAGAUGUUCAGUAGAAAGCUAUGGAGACUCUGACUUUAGAUGUUUUACCUUCCCUUGACUAGCUCCUUAGCAACGAUUCCACUGUACUUUACUCGUCCUUGCUCUCAAUGACCUGAUCAACUAUAUGUCCAAGACCUUUAUGGGUAAUAACUUUGUAUACGUAAGAUCCUUCUUUACCCAUAACUCAUCCUAGAGUAUUUGUUUCUAGGGUACACACACAAGCACUUCUCCAAUUGUGGCAUGUCGAACACAUCAAAACUCCAAAUAAACUAUCGUGUAACUUCCAUCUGUUAGACCACCGACCAAUGUGUCAAGGUUUACGCAUCAAAAUUCUUAUUCGUCAUAAGGGUCACCUUGAGAGACGCAAUUUCCAACUUAUUCCAAAAUGCCAUGCAAUAUCUCUCAACUUGUUUUACUACAUCUUUUUUUUAGAUGUUACUAUAUCCCUUUAGUCCUAUGUCAAAGCCCCUUUUUCAUAUAUUCACCUUCCAAGAGGGUGUUUGGUUAGAGAUGCUAAAAUUUAAGGUAAUGUAACAUAUUUGUAAUUAUAGCAAUUAUAGACUAAUUAGGCUUAAAAAUUUUCUUACAAAUUAUUCUCUAGCUACGUUUUUAGAGAGUGCCAUAAAAUAUAUGUUCAUCAAUAUCUAUAACAUAAAAUCUAAUGGUAUUAAUUUGGUACCAUAAAUAUUAACCUUUUUUUAUAGAAAUUCGAUUAAAGUUUUAAAAGUUUGACUUAGCACAACUCUAGAAGUUGAAGCUUUAAGAGAUAGAGGGAGUAAGUGUCACAUUGAUUUGUCCUAAGUCAAACGUAUGUAUCUUUGACCAUUGGUUUUAAAAAUUAUGUAUAGUUUUAUGUCAUACUCCCUCCAUACCCACAAAGAAAGUCAUUUAGGACAAUGACAUGGUCUCCAAAACCUAACUUUGACUCUUUAUUUUCAAAAAAAUAUUUAUCAAAAAGUGGUAUAUAGAUAUUUAUGAAAAUAUUUUUCAAGACAAACCUAUUCAUAUGGUUUUCAUAUUUCCAAAUUCAACAACUUGAAAGUUAUUCAUGAUAUAUAUUUGUCGGUGUCUGGACACGUGAUCUAGACACUAACGAGUAAACGAGUCUACGUGCUCCGAAACCCAGAUGGUGAUGCAAGAAGAACACAAGAGAUUUAUACUGGUUCGGACUAACCCAGAUUUAUACUUUCAUGUAGUUACCUUGCCGAGCCUUGUUUUGGGUCGUGGCAAUCUCCUCCGAGGCCUUAUCCUCUGUCCUGUGUCAAGGUAUAGUGAUGCUUGGUCAUGGCGAUAGCGCCGAGAUUUGACAUCCCCCAUCCCCUUCCUUGUCCGGCCAUACCCAUAGUGAUGUAGGUAAGGUGCAACAGGGACCGGAGUUGGUAGCACAAUGGGUGUCAUUUUCUGUCGUGGUAUGGCCUGAGGUGUGGCCCGCAUCCCAUCCACGGACCACAGUGCAGUCACCGUGUAUGGGAAGCCUGAAGCGGGUGGUCCGUGCCGAGGACGGGCUCGGGCGAGGCGUAAAUCUUGCUCGAGGCCGGGGCUCGGGCGGAACGCAGAUCUCGCUCAAGACCGGGGCUCGGACGAGGUGUAAGUCCUGCUUGAGGCCAAGGCUCGGCCGAGGCAUAGGUUUCGCUCGAGGUCAAGGCUCGAGCGAGUCGUGACCCUUACUGUGUCCUAUUGGGCUUGUCUGUUGGGCUGAGACGGAGUCAUCUCGAUCUAACCUGGUGAAGUUCUAUGGGGAAGGGAGGAUUUUGUCGUUUUUAUGCCUUUUACUAGGUACCUGGUUUACGGUACUCGACAAUAUUCUCAAUGUUUGACUCAAAUUUUGUCUAAAAUGACUUUACUUAUGGAUAUAGAGGGAGUAAGAUUUAUGUUAUUAGAUUUAUUGUGAAAAAUAUUAUCAUAAUAUAUAAUCCAUAUAUUGUGAAACCAUAAAGAUUUUAAAAAAUGUUGGUUAAAGAUUUAGUGUUUGACUUAACAAAUUAAAUAUGACACUUUGAUAAAAAAAUGGAGGGAGUAUGUUUAUAUAUUUAAAUAGCUUGCCUCACAAAAAAUACUCCAUAUUUAAAUUGCGGCCGGCUGCAUGUUGGUGCGAGCACGGGAGCGCUCCACGUGCAAAGAUAGUAAGGCCUUGUUUAGUUGGCAAAAUUUUUAGAUUUUGGGUACUGUAGUAUUUUCAUUUUUAUUUGACAAAUAUUAUCCAAUCAUGUACUAACUAUGCUCAAAAGAUUCAUAUCGUAAAUUACAGUUAAACUAUGUAAUUAGUUUUUAUUUUCGUCUAAAUUUAAUACUUCAUGCAUGUAUCGCAAGAUUUGAUGUGACGGAGAAUCUUGAAUUUUUUGAAACUAAACAAGGCCUAAUUGAAUUAUUUUUUUUCUUGUUUUCAUCGUUAUGUUUUGCUUGCAGGGCGGGCGUUUUGGCAUUGUUUUUUUUUUCUGAGUUUUUUAUUUGAAACGAUCCUACCUUCUCAUGUUCUAAAUUACACGGCAUUUUGGCCAUUCGAGAUAUAUAGAUUUUUUUUUCUUUUUACUAUACACUUGGAACGGGAAAGGAUCUAAAUAAGAGUCUCACUCAGAUCCACAAAUCAAAGACUCAUACUCCCUCCGUCUCAAAAAGAUCCACAAAUCAAAGGCGGUAGAGCACGAGGAGCGCGGUGUGGCGAUGUAGAGGACGCGGCAGAUCAGUGUUUGCCAAGUCAUGGACGGACUUGUAUAAAUGCCAAGCCUUCUCUAGAAUUUGCCAAGUUUCCAAAAAAUCAAAACCAAUAUGCAAAACUAUUGGAGAGGUGUUUUGUGAAUUUUGGCAAAAAUUAAGAAUGCAAAAGCAAUAUGCAAAACUGUUAGAGAUGCUCUAAUUAGGCUUAAAAGAUUCAUCUCGUAAAUUACAGAUAAAUUGUGCAAUUAGUUAUCUUUUUUAUCUAUAUUUAAUAAUUUAUGCAUAUGUUUUAAGAUUCGAUGUGACAGAGAAUCUUAAAAAAUUUUAAAAACUAAAAAAGGCCUAACAAAGCUGAGUAUGCGACCAUAAACGUAGGCUCCACGUGCCCUUGUACAGGGCAUGUUCGUUUAGCUCAAAAUUUAUAGUUAAAAAUAUUAUUCACUGAUUUAUUAUAAAAAAAUAUUGUUAAAUAGUUGAUAGAUUCGGUAUAUAAACUCAAACAAAUUUUCUUCAAAUUUUGGCGCACAUCUGUAAUUUUCGGGAGAACCAUGGUGCCGUGGCAUUGUCCGACUCACACUCGCUCGGGUGGGUCUCAGCAGCAGCCAGCAUGCACAUUUGCCCCAGGGCGGACCUAAGCCUUUUUUACUUCUAAAAAAUUUACAAAAUAGGAAUAGUAGCACUUUUGUUUGUAUUUGACAAAUAUUAUCCAAUUAUGGACUAACUAGGGUCAAAAGAUUCGUUUCAUCAAUUCCGACCAAAAUAUGCAAUUAGUUUUUAUUUUCAUGUAUAUUUAAUACUUCAUGCAUAUGUCUAAAGAUUCGAUGUGACGAGAAAUCUGAAAAAGUUUGCAAAAUUUUUAGGAAACUAAACAAGGCCCUAGUGCACGGCCGCCGAUUCAGCCAAACAGUAUAGGGGUGUAACCAUCGAGACCGUUGAGGCUAUAAUAAUUGUCAAAUAAAAAUAAAAAUAUUACAGUGUUAAAAAACAUUUUCCCAACUAAAUAAGGCCUGAUAAUCAGAAACCAAGUGUCACUAGCAAAAAAAAAAAAAAAAAAAAUCUCUAGGGGCGGCGGAAAUGGAAAAAGAAACACUGUCAAAACGCAGGCAUGGACGGAAGAGUAGCGCGUACGUUUCCCUCGCCUCGCGUAUUACAGGACCCUGCAGGCUCCAGCUGUCACUGUCUGGCAACACCCGAGCGGGACCCUCUCUCCCAGUCCAAUCCCCGGCCCGUUCUAUAAAGCGGGGCCCCCAGGCCGCCGUCGCUAUCCAUCCCCAUCCCCCCACUUCCAUCCUCGGAGGCAUACCCCACCAUCCAUCCUCGCCGGGAGAGAGAGAGAGAGAGAGGAGGGCGUCGCACCCAUGGCGGCGCCGCUGCCGCUCGUCGACGGGGUCGGGCCCCAGGUGGACGCACCGGCACCGCUGCCGCUCGUCGACGGGGUCGGGCCCCAGGUGGACGCACCGGCACCGCUCGUCGACGGGGUCGGGCCCCAGGUGGACGGUCUCCCCAAUACGCUGAACCUCCUCCUCAGGACGGCGACGUCUUCUCCCAAUCACCCGGACCAAGAGCAGCGGAAUCUGCUUCGGGCCUCACUCCUCCCGGUGAUCGUGUGCAAGAUCAAGGUCCGCGACGCAGGGCCGUUCAUGCAGUUGGUGCGUCUGCCACUCGCCGCAGCCAACCCACAUGGCAACCGCACCAUCCCCAACCGCCUGGCGAUCGAGAGGGUCGCUGCUGCUGCCAACGUCCUCUUCCUCCUCAUCGAUCCGCUACUGCCUUGCCUCCGCCGCCACCCCACCGACCCCACCCACCUCCGUGGGGUGAAGGCCUGCGCGGAGAGACUCCAGCAUCUCGCCGCUGAGGCCGGUGGCUCCUUCAAGACAUCCUGCAGUCAGUUCGCGCAGCGCAUCAUCCUGUACGUCACCCAAGCCCACGCCCACCCGAUGUUCUCACCGUACGCUCCUCUCCGCUCGUCUAUCGAUGACAUCAUUCGCCGUGCCACGGUUCUCCUCGACCUCACGGUCACCGUGAAGCAUCCGGAGCCGGGUGAGUUGGCUGCUGCUGCGGUGGAGGUGGCUGCAUAUGCAGCGCAGUACGGCGGCGCGGUGGCGGGACUGGGGGCCGAGGCCGAGGCUGAUCCUGAGGAAGCCGAAGGCAACUAAGGCAAGGCGUGAAGAUUCACCGAAGUGGUGCAAAUCGUAGUUGAUAGUUUCUACUAGAGUCCCACCAAUCUUACUUUCUUCUAGUCGGAGCAGUUCUAUGGAUAGGGUGACGGUGAACGUAAAUGUGAUUCUCUGGUAGUACUAUGGUAGUAGUAGAGUCAAGAGUUCCAUCCCAUGGAAAUAUCUGUUUAGGGUGAUGGUGAAAGUAGAUGUGACUCUCUGGUAGUACUAUGGUAGUAGUAGAGUCAAGAGUUCCAUCCCAUGGAAAUAUCUGUUUCUGUAAUUCUGUUAGUCUCUCAAAUCAAAGAUGGUGCUACAGUGCUGCUAUAAUAAGCAAUUCUGCUAUACUUGCCCUAUGAAUGUUCAGCUAUGUAUAAAUGCUCAUUUCUCUUGUGCUUAAAGUUUCUUCUGAUAAAUGAGGCUCUCAGGGGCACUAUCUGGUAUCUUUCCAGCUGUUUGAGUCCUCUGAUUUGAAUUAUUUGGUGCUCUGAAAGUCCUGUGAUUUGCUGACUGAAUUGUGCUGGUUGUCUUACGGGCUACGGCAGUUCCAUGAGUGAGUGGGAGGAUUCCCAUAGAUAUCUUAAUCCAGAUUAGUGGAGAUAGGUGGCAGCUGCCAGAAUGACUCAGAGGCUAUUGGAAAGCAAUAUCAGGUUGUUUGGAAGGAGGAAUUCAUGCCUUGCUGGCAACAGAUUAUGUAUGGUUAAUUUAGUUGACUACUGAGCUACAGUUAUGUGUGCACAAUUUCUGAAUUAAAUUUGAACUUAUUCUCUACUUCCUGCAUAUGAACUAAUGUGAUCCUUUGCAUGUGAGCAUCAGUGCCAAGAAUGAAACGCUAACUGUGUCCAGCGAAGAUAGAAGCAGAUACGUUCACAGAAAGACAAAGUGGGCGCCUGACCUGACUUUGGACCCCGUCGUGUGCAAACGAAGGCCUUUGGCUUACCAGGUAUCCUACCAUCUAUUAUCACUCUCUUUCUCCUCCACGGGUUCAUGCUUCUAGCCUGCUCUAUCUCUUGGUAUCUGUUGUUCUAUGCACUACUACCAUCUUUUGCAUUUUGAUUGAUGCAAUAUGUUUGGUUCAACUUGUACCUACUGGUUACAUUAUGUUACAUUUUCUCAGUAAAACUAAUCCAUGGAAAUAACCCGAGACAGUUGUAAAUAUUUCCAUAUUACUUCCAGUCAAAAGGAUGUCUAACUUGAAUGUCUUUUUUCGUAAAAUAUCUCUUUCUCUUGGUAGCCUGGUACCUAUGUCAAUCUACAUUCAAAAAUUAAGCAAGAUGCACACAUUUUUGCAACCACUUUAGAAAUUUAGAAUUUGCUUCAUACUUCAGUUCCUUUGACUAGAACGGGAAUGCUGAAAAACACACUAUUGAUUGAGCAUUACUUUGGAGGCUAGGCUAAAAAGCAUCAUUAUUUACUUUUAUUGAAAGGAUAAGCCCAGCCUCCCCACUGACUGGACAGAUAUGAGCAUUUUUCUUGCGAUUCUCUCAUGUAUGAUGCUUCGAUUGCCAGGUGUCAUUAAUUCAUAUUAGUUCACGAGCAGACUCAGACCUUGUUUGGAUGUUGUCGGAUUUACCUCAAUCCACAUGUGUUGGAGUGGAUUGGGGUGGAAUUUAGUUCAAGUUCCACUCCAACCCAACCCCAACACAUGUGGAUUGAUGUGAAUCCGACUACAUCCAAACAAGGCCUAGUGGAGCAAAUUACCAAGCAGCUGAAAUCUGGAACUUUGGAUACAUUCAAAAUUGAUGGUUCAGUGUCUACUGGAAAUGAAUUGAAUUCUAUUGGUUCUGACAUCUUGAAAGAGAAUGAGGUAUUCCCAAUAUGAAUGCUGUCACCACUACAUGUGGUCUACACUCAGCAAAUUUUUUGGAUGUGAGGCCAUCGUGUGUCAAGAUAAAAUGAUUAUAUGCUCCCAUUUGGUAAUAAUUUUUUUAUCCUUUUUGCAGCUGGGAAAUGUUGAACUAUUGGAACUUUAAAGACGAGAGCUUAUUGGUCAGAGAAGUUAUCCUUUUCUCUUGUAUUCAUGCACUUCGUUUUACUGAAGUGAAAAUAAAUAUGUGCCUGAGUCAAUGCAUCUUGGUGCUAAUGAGGCAUAGGGUUCCUUUAUCAAGUAGUAUCUUGCUUGAUAGUUGAUAAUGCAUGUAGUUGCUUGAAAAUAAAUAUGUUAGGUUCUUGUUAAUUGUUAUUGGCCUUGUUAAAUAUCUGUAUUUAAUCCCUGAGAAAAUCUGUAGUCGUAACUGUGGUGCAUAUUAUCUGUAGGUGAAAUACUCAGUUUGAAUCCGGGAUAUAAGAUGCCUUAGGACUACAAACCAAUACUCAAGGAGACAAAAACUCCUCAUCAUGCUUAUUUGCUUGUUUUGGCCUUUAGCGACCUUUUGGUUCUUCUGCCACUAUAUUUCUGAUACACCAAGAAUUCCUUGUACUUGGAUAUCGAGUUACACUAGUAGGAGCUUAUCUUAAUUUUCCUUUGUAAUGUACUAUAAUUACGCAUCAUAGCUUGGGUCGUUUCUGAGAGUAGUAUAUUGUUGGUUGAUCUGUUUUUUUAAAUCUAUGAUGUGCUAUACUUCAUUUUGCUAUUAAUAUUUAGCCUUUUGUUAAACUUUGAUAUAUCUUUUUAAGUUCUCAUCAUGUCCUUGGUUAGAGGGGCGUGCACAACGUUGAGUGAUUGUGGGUGGCAGCCUGAUAGGGUGAACAGACGCCAAACCGAGCAUUUGGGAUUGGGCACACUGGGGACGGCGGUCAAUCUCAAGGCCCGGGGCUCAGAUAGAUGAGGAUCUCUCCUGGUAAAUUUUUCCUUACUUAUACAAUUAGUACAACUCCACCUUUUGUCUAUAAAGAGAGAUUUACUUCACUCCUAACAAGGGUGGCUAAUCUUAUGCCUAAUCCUAACACUAAUGGCCCUUUCUUACUUCCGAUCUGGCCCAUAAGGUCUAGGUGGCUGCCCAUGAUAUUUACUGUCUUAUGUUGGCCAUUGCAGGCAGAAGCACAUCCAGGACAUAUAUUAUUGGAGUGCGUAUAGGUCAUGAAAGCAAUACCCAGAAGCUGACUACUUGAAGUAUGAUCUAUUCUUGGAAAUCUUAUGGUAUUAUUUUGUUGAAACAUCCCUGAGAGCAGUCUCUUUAUUAAACUGUUGGCUUCAUUCACACAUGAUAGGAUACUGGAGCUGUCAUUGGAGUAUAUGGGACUAAGAAAAUCAUUGGAGAAAAGUGAUAUUUUGCUAAGAUAAUUUCCAGAGCAAUUUUUAAACGUCCUGCUCCAUUUUUCAGUCCUUUUCAUUAUAAUUUUUUUAGUUUCAUCUUUAUCUUGACGCUCAAGCUCUACAGAUCUACAGCACAUCAUUUUGUUGUGUGUUGUCCUUAUAGUAAAUAACUUCAAUAGCAAUUUCAACACAAUAGACAAAUGAAGCGCUGUUUUUUUUGUCAUGCUCAAUGGAGGAAAGGUAUAUUUUGCUAAGAUAUUUUUCAGAGCGAUUUUUAAAUGUCCUGUUCCAUUUUGCAGUCCUUUUUGUCAUAAUGUUUUAGUUAUCUUGAUGUUCAUUCUACAGCACAUCAUUUUGUUGUGUGUUGUCCUUAUAGUAAAUAACUUAUAUAGCAACUUCAACACAAUAGACAAAUGAAGCCCCUUUUGUUUUUGUCAUGCUCAGAGUGAGAUUCGCCAUCAAGACAUAAAUGAAGCACAAGAUGCUUAUGAAGACCUAUACAUCAAUGUAUCGGCUGAGUCUAAUGAUAAAGUUUAGAUACUGCAGUUGUGUUGAUUGAGCUGCUUCUUGGUCCUGUUUCCGUAAGUCCAGCAUGCCUUUCUUCCCCCUCAAAAUCAGUUUGUUGUCAACAAACCAUGGAGUCAUUUGGACCUUAGGUAAAGUCAAAAGCUACUUCAACUACUGCUGUUUCUUCAGCAAUUAUCUCCAAGGGUGCAGUUUCAGCUAAUGUGCAACCGGUGCAGAAUACCACUUCACAGCCAGAUUUCCUUCAUUACCAAUCACACGAUGCUCCUUGGCUGCCCACACCCCAGAACAAUGCUCCAUCAAUUCCUUCCACGGGGCCUGUUUUGAGUACAUUAUUACCUAACCUGUUCCUGGGCCUCAGCAACCAGUAUCAAGCAAUCGACAACAUCCACCUCAAUUUUUCGAGCUAAUAACUCCUCAAUUGGGCCUUCUUUUGGUCAACCACCUGGUCCACAAAAUCUUGCUCAAUGCCACCGCGACCCCUUCAAAUACCCCAUGCCUCGGGUGGUUGGCCACCUUUUUCUCUACUGUUCCAUCGCAAGCUCAGAGGCCUCUGCAAACUUUCAUGGCAAUGACAUCUCCUAUUUGGCUAUUUCUGUCUCUCCUCUUGGUGCAACUACACCACAACCACAAGGCCCAAUUGCAUUGACACCAUCAAAUCUGCCCACCAUCAGUACCAAAUUUCCAGGCCUCCUGGUGGAGCUCAGUCUUUUCCUAGAGCUGCGCCUCAAGGUCCUGUUUAGUUACUCCCCUAAAAUUUUUUCAUCCAUCCCAUCGAAUCUUUGGACAAAUGCAUGGAACGUUAAAUGUAGAUAAAAAAAUAAACUAAUUACACAGUUUGGUUGAAAAUCGCGAGGCGAAUUUUUUAAGCCUAAUUAUUACUCCAUGAUUAGCCUUAAGUGCUACAGUAACCCACAUAUGCUAAUGAUAGAUUAAUUAUACUUAAUAGAUUUGUCUUGCAGUUUUCUGACGAGCUAUGUAAUUUGUUUUUUUAUUAGUUUCUAAAAACCCUUCCCGACAUCCUUCCAACACAUCCGAUGUGGCAUUUCCGGUCCGCCUGCCCUAGGGCCUUGUUUACUUCCAAAAAAUUUUGCAAAAUUUUUGGAGAACUAAACAAGGCCUAGGUCUAGGUCCUGCAAGCACAAGCGGCAGUCAGGACCUCCACUCCCAGUCACGGGCGACUUUACUUUUCAGCGCCUACUCAGCAUCAAGCAGUCAAAGGGGAAUACAGGACAGAACUCACCCUGGAUCAUUCUUCCAUCCUAGUAAUCACAGUUAGAAGACUAGACUGACAAAUCCUUAUCAAGAUGAGAUUGACAAAGUCACUAUAACUAUCGACGGAAACAUCACGUGCAACUUAAAGCACAGAGCUGUCACUCCUAAUGAACUCACCGACCUAAAUGUGGAUGUUGUUAUCAAUGGGCUUGAGCAUGCUUUUCAGCUCAUGACAAAUGCUGACCGUGACCGUGCGCUCCUUCAUGAUAAUAAGGAUACAAGAAAAGGUGCAUUUUCUAGGGGUAGUUACUCCCUCGGUCCCUCUAUUGUUGAGCAGCCAUGGAACAUUAAACGGGUCUAAGAAGAAUGAACAGACAUGCUGCAUACCGAAGCCAUUUAGGAAUACCGAACCACGACUUGUGCAAAUAAGAUGUAAGGUGAAUUGAAAGACGAGAACAAUUAAUAGCAACUAUAUGUAGACACGCAAAAGCGCUAUAUUGCUUUCCACAACUUUAGCAUAGACAUCUCCGGCUAGAGGAAAAACUUAACAUAUAAAUAUAUUGGAAUAUCAUUAUAGAUGCACAAAGUGCCUGUGUCCAAGAGAGAAGACACCGCAAAGGUAGAUGGAGGCCUGAAGCUUGUGUGAUCAGCAGGAGGAUUAGGUAGACGUACGGGUGAUCAUGGGAUCCCUCAAUUCCACAAUGGUACCGCUUAUACACCUGAAGGUCAGGUGCGAAGUCUUUGAAAAUUGAGAGAAAUUGUUUAGAAAAUGCUGAAAAGAAUCUAAGAACUGUCAACAUUCAUUUACUUUUUUUAAACCAAAGAAGGCGAACACGGAAGAAGUGAAAGCUGCAUAUAGGAAUCUUUACUGUAAAAGCUAACCAAGGCAUCAGGCAUAUCUAAAGAAUUAUCAAUGAAGGCCACCUUACCAUACACAGGGACCGAUACUUUGCACAGUCCCCACGGCCCACGCCUCAGUAAUCCUUUGCAUUAUCACGUAAGAAGAUAGGGCACUGAGGAUCAGCUAAAAAGAAAGGAACAGAACUGAGUUUCGAGUACACAGUGAAUCUAUCAGCGCUAUUUUUUCUAGAGGCCCAAUAAACAUAGCGCAUCUACACCAAAAAAAAAGCAGCACAGAAAACCAGUUUGAUUCCAAAGUUUGGUCUAACAAUGUGUAAGGUACCGAUAUUAUAUUAGAUGAUGACGAUAAUGUGAAUCUAUGUUCUUGUUUACUUCUUUGGGCAGGUAGGAUUUUUUUUAGCAGCAAGUAGAAGUUAGUGUAGCUUUACAAUACUAUACUGUGACAGUAGAAGUAGGCCGAGGAGCUUAGCGUAGGGCUUGAAGUCAAAGUUUAAAGGAAAAAACAACAGUGAAAGUGGAUAGUAUAGAACUAUUGAACUCGUAAAUCUAGACAUACCAUGAACAUGAAUGCAGUACUAAGUACUAAAUACAAUAAGCAUACUUGAUGAUCAACCAAUUGCCAAACUCAAGAGAAGAUCAUCAACUACCUCUAAGAAAACGGUUCAAAAAACCACUAAAGGGCUAGAUGCACUUACAGGAAGCGGGGUACAAGCAGUGGGUAUUCUUCUAAAUUCAGAUGCCAACACCAUGCUCACACACGCUUGAGGGCCGGUUUCUUAGAUCGGUCGGUGUAUAGUUUUUUACCCCUUCCAGUUCUUCCGGGCUUUAUAAUCUGCAGUUUUAACAUGUUUCUUCUAUUGUGUACACGGCGAGACUAAGCCAAAAAUAUUGAUCAUUUUGCACUAUUUGGGAUUUUUUUUGGAAAUGUUAGUCAAGAAAUUGUGUAUCCUUAUUUUGUAAAAUUAGAAGAAAAAGAAAACAACUACGAAGUGUACAUUAUGUGGAUCUUGUUUCUAUCUUCCAGUUGUUUUCAUCCAUUUCAAUAGUUUACUGUAGUUGACCGGCGAUAUAUGAGAUAUACAUAUGAACAUCAUCUGUGGAGUAGUCAAAAUCAAUGAAUCAAAUGGGUCUGGUGACGGCACAAUUGGUCUUUUGGAAAAAUUAAGAUCAAUAAUUAUACUGUCUUUUGAAAUUUGAUUGAUAACUUAAUAUAUUAUAAAAUGAUCUUGUAAUUCGUCUAUGCCACUCACUAUUGAAGGCUAAAUUCAUACCUGCAUCUCUACUCACAUCUUGAAAGGAACAAAAAAUAAGCAUAGACAAAUCAAAUCAAGCAUCUCUACUCACAUGGAACAAAAUUAAGCAUAUCUACUCACAUCUUGAAAAGAACAAAAUUAAACAUAGACAAAUCAAAUCAAGCAGGAAGAGAACACGAUUACAACGAUUCUCAUGGAGAAACAGAAAUGCAUCAAUCAACAUAAUCACUUGUUUGGCUUCCAUUAGUAAUAGAUACAGUAAACAAUAGUACUUGUUUCUUUCAGCCACGGCUGCAGUCCAAGAGGCUGCAAUGUAAAAAGAGACCAUAAAUUAUUUUGGAAAAUUCAAGAUCUAGGCCUUAUUUUGUUCCAAAAUUUUUUCAAGACCAAAUGCAAACGAAAGUGCUACAACUAAACAAGACCCUAAUGGUGUUGAAAACAAAACAUGUUAUAGAAUGAUAUUGCAAUUUGUCAUCCUACUCAUAGUGAGGACUAAAUUCAUCGCCUGAAUCAGUACUCACAUAUUGAAAGAAACAAAUAAUUUGUCAUUCCACACACUGAAGAAGAUUAAAUUCAUCGCCUGAAUCAGUAGUCACAUAUUGAAAGAAACAAAUAAUUUGUCAUUCCACACACUGGAGAAGAUUAAAUUCAUCGCCUGAAUCAGCAGUCACAUAUUGAAAGAAACAAAAAUUCAACCUAAAAGGCAGACAAAUCAACCAUCGAUUCCGAUAACAUUUCACAUAUUGAGAAACAGAUCGAAAUGCAUCAAUCAACACCAUCACCAGUUUGGUUUCCAUCUCCAUAGACCAGUAAGAUCUGGCCAACCAAUUCGACCAAACCACUCGGGCAUCUCUACUACUACUACUGAAGAUAGAUAACCAUACCAACCACACAUUCUGAUGAAGAUUGGGAACUACCAACCGCGCAUAGAUCUGAAGAUUUUAAGUAAACACUAACAUCCUAACAUUCUGAUGAGGAUUGAACUACCAACCAUGCAUAGAUCUGGGUCAGUAGUAGCCGCCUGCCUCGCCCUCAAGCCUCCGCCUCGUCGGGGGUAUAGGUCAUGUCGAGAAAUCGACUUGCCUGGCACAGGAGAUCAUCGAUGGAGUUGCGCAGUGAGUCGUCGGUGCUGUAGCCCGGGUGGCCGCGGGCAUCGGCGGUGUAGGAGUUGAUGCGCUGGGCAAACUCCGUACAGGAGACGUUGAAGGAUCCGCCAACCGCCCGGGCGUACUCCUCCAGUUUGUUGGCGCAGGCGUCCAUCAUGAGGAGAUGGGUGGCGUCGGUGGGGAGGCGGCGAACAGAUGGGAGGAGCGGAUCCUGAAGCAGGAGGACUAGGUCGCACGCAUCAGCGAUUUUCUUGAGAACCUCGCGGUUAGGGAGAACGCGGCGGAUCUCUAUGUUGUUGUUGUUGUCGUCGUCGUCGUCUCCGGAGAGCGGGAGAUUCAUCAGCUGUAAGAAGGGACCCGCCUCGCGAACCCUCAUCUCCCGACGCUGCUGCUCCUCCUGGGGCAGUUCGAUGCCGCGCACGAGGUCCGCCAUGUCUCUGGCGCCUUCUCUCUUUGCCCUCUCAGGAUGGAGGUAGAUAUGGAUGGGGAUGGCGACGGCUGCCUCGCGAGUAUUAUAGAGAUAAAAACACAUCACAUAGACAGAUAUCCUAUUAUAUUUGUUUUCAUAUUUCUAAUCAGAUUCGCAUUCGA
rnacentral:lncRNA from 1 species